rnacentral:lncRNA from 1 species
CUGACACAGUCAUGAUCAUACAGUAUGUAUAAUUCUCUGUCCAUUUGUAACAUGUUUACUUACUCAGACCUUGAGUCUCUCCAAAAAUUUCUCAAGAACAGCCUAACACUUUAGCCAAAGUAUUCUGUCCCUGCUUGUUUUAAAUUAUGUGCAAACCUCACCCAGAACAGCGCUGAACAGAGUCAAAUCCUCGAGAACAAUUACCCUGUCUCAACUGCCUUUGACUUCCGGCACCUGAUCUAAGAAUACAUAACUUGCAUGUCUUCAAAGAGUUGGCUAAGGGGAUUAAUAUAAGCGACCUAAGCACUACGGGUAGCUACAUUAUUUCCGAGUUUCCACUAGUAUAAAUAUUCAUGAGAACUGCCUUGAACACAGUUCAGCAAUUUCUCACAUAGCUAAACAAAGAGUUUCCACCUGAGCCAGUAAUUCUACACCUAGGUGUGUACCUAAGCAAAAUGAAAACAUAUGCCUACAUGAAAGAAUGUCCACGGCAGCAUUAUUCACAGUAGCCAAAAGAUGAAAACAGCUAAGGGCCAUCACCUGAUGAACAGAUAAAUAAAACAUGGUCUAUCCGUUCAAUGGAAUAUUAUUCGGCCAUAAAAAGGGGAGUUUCCUGUCAUGGCACAGUGGAAACAAAUCUGACUAGUAUCCAUGAGGAUGCGGGUUCAAUCCCUGGCCUCACUCAGUGGGUUAAGGAUCCGGUGUUGCUGUGAGCUGUAGUGUAGGUCACAGAGGCAGCUUGGAUCUGGCAUUGCUCUGGCUAUGGUGUAGGCCGGCAGCUACAGCUCUGAUUCAACCCCUAGCCUGGGACCCUCCAUAGGCUGAGUGUGGCCCUGAAAAAUGCAAAAAAAAAAAAAAAAAGAAAAAAGAAUGAAUUACUGGCAGAUGCUACAAUAUGGAUGGACCUUGAAGUCACUAGAAGCCAGACACAGAAGGCUACAUGUUGUAUGGCUCCACCUACAAGAAAUAUCCAGAACAGUCAAAUCCAUAGAGACAGAGGGCAGAUGAGUGGGUGGCAGUGCUUGGAGAUACAGAGGGAAUGGGGAAUGAUUGCUAAGAGGUAUGGAGCUUCCUUCAGAGAUAAUUAAAAUGUUCUGGAAUUAGAUAGUGGUUGGUGGUUGCACAACUUGGAGAUUAUCCUGAAAACUAGUAAACUGGAUGCUUUAAAUGGUGGCUUUUAUGUUAUACGUGAAUCAUGUAUCAAUUUUUAAACCUAUGAUGAAAGGAACAUCUCUGUGCAUAAAGCUCAUAAUCUGUAUUUACAUUACUUUCCUUGAAAGAUUCCCAGAAGUAAAUUUACAAGGUUGAAGGAUAUGAAGCUCUUUUCUCCAGAACUUAAAUUUGAUGUAAAGAAUUCAGCCAGUAAAGUAUAAAGAAGAGGAAAUAAAAUCCCCUAUGAUCCAGAAGCCCUGGAUUCGUGUUUUAGUGCAUCUGCCUGCAUUUUUCCACAGCUGAUAUCAUACUGGAUACAAUUUCAUACACUGAUUCUUUUCAUUUGUGUAUUUCCUCAGGUCCUUUAGGUCUCUGUCAGCAUCGCCUUCUGUCAUGCUAGAACCUUCCAUCAUAGGCAGUAAACCAUAAUUAUUUUACCAGGCACCUCCAGUCAGCUAUUUAAGGAUGUUCCAACGUUCUGUUCUUUAUUGUAAAUAACGGACAUGGGCUCAGGGCGCCCACGGGACACGUACCGCGCAAGUGCUUUACCAGCAGCAUACACUCUACAGCCACUCAGAGAUGGCCUUUCUCGUCACCCCCUGGGAAUAUCCUGAUCGCACGUGUUCAAGGGCUUGGGGAUACAUCUGUGUGGCGUGGGCAUGCUGGACUUUCCAAGAACAAUUAGGGCGGGAGGAGAGCCUAAGUUUCACGGCGCUUUGGGGACGGGGGCGUGCACGGGGGGAGUUGGGCGACAAACCGAGAAGCAGGGCGCCUGGAGAUCCCACGCGGGAUUGGGAGGCCCCCGGGGCCAGCUCCAGCUCUCCCGGUCCCCCGACGACUCCUAUCCGAGCAGCAUCAGCCCGGAGCGCCGGCCCUCCCCGCCCGCAGCUCCCCACGGAGGUCUCCCCUUCAAACACAGCUCUUCCUGGCCCCGGCAGGUCCGUUUUGCUGGCCAUUCCUAUCAGAGCGGGUCGGCAAGAAGGGGGAGAGGGCUGGAGGACACAGGCGCUGGCUUCCUUCUGCCCCCUUUGCCUGCUGCAGCCUGCAGGGCUCUUUAAGAAGUGGCCCUGGGCCAUUUCGGUUAGUGCCCGUGCCAGGAGAGCCAUUUACUGCCCUGAAACCUCGGAGGAGUCCUUCCUGCUCUCUCGGGGUCAGCCUCAGUUUCCUCUCUUUCAAAUGGGCAUGAUCCGAUGAACCUCACAGGGCCAGGCUGGCUGGGGGGCGGCCUCUUCAGUCACCGUGGGGAGACCAGCUCCACCCGCCACCUGCCUCCGCCUCACCCUCCAGGAGACCUGCUUCAGACCGCAGGAGCUUCCUUUCGCGGCAGUGCUCCGUGGCGGCCCCUCCCUUCCUCGAAGCCAGCCUCGGUCGGGGUCUCUCUCAGGAUGCCAGCUCCCGGGUUCUCCCUCUCCGGCAUCCCUCUUCCACUCAGAAAGGACCUCGUGAUCCCACCGGGCCCGCCCAGAUCAUCCAGGAGAAGCUCCCUGCGGUGAGUCACAUCUGCAAAGUCCCAUGUGCCAUGGCAAAUAACACGGUCACAGGCUCCAGGGAGUGGGACGUGGACAUCUUGGGGGCCACCGUUCCAGCACCUCGAAAGCCACGCCCUCCCUCCCAGGGGCGGGGAAAUCUGACACCCACUUUCUCAAAUCGCAGAAGAGUAAAGGUGGGCAGCCGAAGGGGAGAGCAGAGAGGAGAGAGAAGAGUAUAGACACUGACUUUUUUUUUCAGCCCAUGAGGGUAAGUGAACCUGUUUGGAUGACCUACAAUCUUUCUAAUGGGGAAAGUUUGGUUUUAAAAUGGGGUAACACUGGUUAUAACUGGUUGAUAACCUUAUAUAUGUUUCCUGUGUACGACAUUAUAUUUUGACUUCUGUAUACACUGCAGCGUGUGCGCCGCCAAAAGUGUAGCUUCCGUCUGUCACCGUACAGUUGACAUCCUUUACCCAUCUGGCCCUUCCCCGACGCCCUGCCUCGUAACCAGUACUCCGUUCUCUGAAUCUAUGGACACACACUGAUGGGGAACACAUUUCCUGUGUGAAAAGGAGGCCAGCAUAAUCCUGUGAUGCCUUGGUCUAUGCUUUCCAGUCUCCGGCCACAAGAUAGUCUUCCUAUUUCCAGGUCAGGCUUCUUUGAGAGAUGCGAUUCAGACAGAACACUCUUUAUCUCCAUUUCAUUCCAAAGCAAUCCUCAAGAAAUUAGGGCGACUCCCUUCACCUUUUCUGCCGCACGUGGCUCACAGGGAAGGAGUUUCAGAGCCCGCCAGAGCACAGACCCUGGGCGUGCGGGGUUGGUACAUGGAGAACUGGACCCUGUUUGCUGUGCCCCCGCCUCUCCAAUUUCAGUGGUGUAACGCUGACACCUGACAGCCAGGUUCUCAGCAGUGAGCGCGUCUCUGAACUCCCUGAAAUCACACAAAAACGCUGAUGAGCACAGUCCAGGGCUGCCAGCCGAUCCCCUGAGAGGGUGAUCACCCCCCAAAAGAAGUUGAGAAGCUCAAUUCCUCAACUCUCUGUCACGUUUAAAACAGCACUGCAUGUACCGCAAACCUGCCACAUUAGGCCUGACGAGUCACUCAAUCACACUGAUUAUGUGUUUAGAACAUGUACGUACUUGCCUGGGCAGCUGUCAUCGAGUCCCAAUUCUAGAAGUUAGGGUAAAGGCUAGUCAAACCUAGAACUCAGUCCAGACAUUGCGACUGACAUUUCAGUGGGGUUUUUUGUUGUUGUUGUUUUUGGGGGGUUUUUUGGUGUGUUUUUUUUGGGUUGCACCCACAGCAUAUGGAGGUUCCCAGGCCAGGGGUCUAAUCAGAGCUAUAGCCGCAGGCCUACACCACAGACACAGCAACACAGGAUCCGAGUCGAGUUUGCGACCUACACCACAGCUCACGGCAACACCGGAUCCUUAACCCACCGAGUGAGGCGACGGAGCGAACCUGCGUCCUCAUGGAUGCUAAUCAGAUUCGUUUCCGCUGAGCCACGAAGGGAACGCCUCAGUGUAUUAAGGGAGCAUGAGUGAUCCGAUUUCAGUGAUGAGUCUUAGAAUUGUUCUUGAAUUACACUCAUGAUUUCCAUGUGAAAAGACUGUCUUCUUUAGGAGAAAAAAAAAAUUAUAAUACCAGUUUUUUCACUGACUCCAACACAAAACUAACAGUUACGGUUCA